UAGCUAUAUUCGGACGGGAUAACUGCUGAAAGCAUCUAAGCAGGAAGCCUCCUUCAAAACGAGCAUUCCCUUGAGAGCCGUGGAAGACCACCACGUUGAUAGGCUGGAUGUGGAAGCGCAGCAAUGUGCGAAGCUGACCAGUACUAAUAGCUCGAUUGGCUUGAUCGUUCUCAUU
rnacentral:rRNA from 1 species